GAUGACGAUGGUGGUCAUGAUGAUGAUGAUGAUGAUGAUGAAGAUGAUGAUGAAGAUGACGAAGACCUGCUGGCUACAUCUGAUGAAGACACUAACUUUGAGGAGUCUGAGGAAGAGGAGGAGGAAGAAGAGGAUGCUGCCAACCCUGAAGAUGGACAGAGUGAUAGAAGAGACAAUGGAGGAGAAGAGAAAGGAUGAAAGGAUGGAGAGAGUAGGAGAUGUGUGUAUUAUUUUUAAUGAAACAUAUAAUAUUGAACUGA